AACGUAGGGGGCGAGCGUUGCCCGGAUUCACUGGGCGUAAAGCGGGUGUAGGCGGUUCUUUUAAGUCGAUGUGAAAUCCUGCGGCUCAACCGCGGAACUGCAUCCGAUACUGGGGAACUUGAGGACGGUAGAGGUCGGUGGAAUUCCAGGUGUACCGGUGAAAUGGGCAGAUAUCUGGAGGAACACCGGUGGCGAAGGCGGGUCUCUGGGCAGUAACUGACGCUGAGGAGCGAAAGCGUGGGGAGCGAACAGG
rnacentral:rRNA from 1 species